UGGUUCCACACGAUAUUUUGGAAUUUCCGGUUGUUAGCGACUUAGCGUCCUAUUGAAAUGUUUCAUAGAAUUAAACAUUUAUAAAUUAAAUUAAGGUUAACCGAAAUUCUAAAUCCACUAGGUAAGUUAGGUAACAACAUAAAAAUAAAUUCAAGUUAAAUAAUAGUACGAAAAAUGGUUGUUUGGUGGGCCAACUUGGAUGUUUUGUGGGAUGAACUUUGAAAGCUUUUUGAAGUGAAGAUUUGAGUUUGAGGUUAGUGGUCUUUAGUUCAUCUGAUUUUAAUUGGGUUUUAUCGUAAUGGGUCUUCGGGCGGCGAGUUUAUCCCGGAACUGGUGAUAGUGGGCUUGGGCUACCUAGUGUUGUCUGCGGUGGCAGGUGUAUGGGGUCGCCUCUUGCCAUUGGGUUACCCCGGUUAGUCGACCUUUUAUUUCGUUGGUCGUUCAAAAAAAUAAAUCUUUCUUCAUAGUUUGCAUGAUUUGCAAGUCGUUGUAUUUGUUUUUCCUCGUUCUAGCUCUGAAUAAGAAGAAGUCACCAUUUGCGGAUCUUCAACGAAAAAUCAAGGAGACGGACUCUCAAAAUAAUAUUUUACAAUACAAAAAAAUGUUUUUUGUUCGGUAAAAUUAACACUAUGAAGCGAAAAAAACGGGGGUCGGGGACCCCCUGGCCCAUGAGAAGCUCCGCCAAUGGAAGACGCCAUUGUUGAGUUUCUAGGGUUUCAACAAAGGUAACUCUCAGCAUGUUGCUUAUGUGAAAGUUGAACCUCGUAUGUAAGUCUCAUUCGAAAGUUACUCAUGCCAGUGGCGGACUUACAUUGUUAUUAGGGGUAGCACGGGCUACCCCUCAACCCCGUCUCCGUAGUGUAAAAAUACCUCUUAACUCCGUUUCCGUAGUGUAAAAAUACCCCGCAACUUCGUCUCCGUUAUACAAAGGAUACCCCUGGUCUAAAAAAUAAAAAAUUGGGAUACCCCUAAAUUUUUGGGCUAGAUCCGCCGCUGACUCAUACGAAUGUUUAUGUGAAAGUUAACUCUCAAACGAAAGUUUAGACGAAAGAUAUUUAUGCGAAGGUUCUGAUUCUUUCUUGGGUGGUCAAACAAAAGUUUAUCACUCUUGUAUGGAAAUUCCACGUGAGAGUUACCAUGUGAAAGUAUCUAAAGGCUUAUGUCCAUGCGAAAGUUCCUAAAGUCUCGCUUAAACGUUCAUACGAAAGUCCCCAAACUCUAGCUCGCGUUAGGGGCUUAUGCGAAAGUUAAAUUAUUGAUUUAUUGUCCAUGCGAAAGUUGACCUAAUUUAUAUGUGAAUCUUUGACCAAAAUAACUACGUUGUUCAAGAAUCAGGAUCAUCUACCGUAUAAAGUAUAGAAGCUUUAUUUCACACUUCUAGACCCCUCCUUACAAUAUUUUAGGGUGAUAUGCAUGCCAAUAAUGUUUCACAAAAAUAUAUAGUAAAGUAUGUUACUUUAUAGCUGAUGUCUUUAUAGUCUAGUGGUAUUUUGAGGGUGGGAUAAAACUUUGAGAUCAAUAGGUCCUGGGUUCGUUUCUCACAAGAGGGGUUUUCCCAUAUUUAUUAGGUUUCCCCCUAAAUUGGUGUUUAGGCAUUUUGCCUAGUGUAGAUGGAUAUGAUCGGGUAGUUCCGCUGGUGGCACGAUGAUACUCCAGUGGUCCAAAUUUGCCGUUCAAAAAAAAGUAUGUUACUU
rnacentral:lncRNA from 1 species